AUUGAGAAAGGACUUGUUCUCGUCUCCUUGCAACAUCGUCUGCCGUUUGCAACGGAACAAAAGUAGUCGAAGCUAUUUCUUCAGUCAUGCUUGCUUUAUUAGAACUCUCUUUCAACAGAUAUUAGUUGUGCUGCGUAGUAUUGGCUAUAAAAGAAUCAGAAAUAGAAGAAAAUGUUAGACUUGAAAAACAAAACAUCAAAGAAACAUCUACACACAAAGUGGUAAAUACAAUAAACAUGGCCGACUACGAAUGCACUCCGGACCCCACCCCGCCGCUAAUCGAUGUAGAUCUUUUCCAAGCAAUCGAAGUCACGUGACCACUUGGAAAAAAGGAGAAAGCCAAGUUGAACCAAAGUAUGUAAUGUUACGGGGAUCGGGCAUGGUCCCAAAGAUAGACGAUAAGUUGGGCUCACGCAAUUUGAUUUGUGUUCUUUGUAAAGUUAGAUCUCGAACUAGGAAGUAAGCAAAUGCGCAUUUAACUGUUAUUCCAAACUUCGAAAUAGCUAAGUGUGUCUACGUGUGCAAUGCGUACUAUUUUUAUUAAACCUUUUUAGCCCUCACAGACCACUUAGGUGCUUACUGAUCGUGUCUUUUCCAAGGACACAUACGCCCACGAUUGUAUCAGCGCCGAGCCUCGAACUCACAACUUCUGGGCUAGGGAGGGGCGCGCUAAUCUUAUGUUCACAAUAAAAACGCCUAAAAUGCGUUUAAUAAAAGUAUUCAACAAAUACUACAACACGGUAAUAAAAUAUGUUUGUGGUUUGUACUUUUGUAUUUUUCAUUUUAAUGAUUAAAUAAAACGAACUGUUGACACGAAAGUAUAUACACAGUAUAUACGUAGACGAAAACUGUAUUCAGAACAAUAUGGCGGACAAUCAUAAACAAUACUUCAAUAGGAAGAAGGGAAAUUGGGACGUGA